UGAAGGGAGGAGGGGUUUAAACACAGAGGAGCAAAUGAGCGGUGGUCCACUCUGCUGUAACCUCUCCUGGAAGUGUGCAUGCCUGUGUGCUAAGCAAUGCUGUUUAUUUAACUCGUCAUAUAAUGCUGAAGCCUUGAGAGACUCAUGAAGUCCACACGGCCACAUUCUAUCUUGAGCUCCUGGACCUGAGGCCCCUCCAGCCGGUCAGCGGAUUCUCAGACCCUCCCACGCAUAGGAGGCUCAAGAUGGAUGGAGCGCCAGUGAAACUCAGGUCUAGAGUUCCAUGAGCCCACCUACGCGCUUCACUCUUUUUCUCUGUCAGUUCUUUUCCUUCACCCUGGAUAACCCUACAGCUGAUAUCACCGAGAACUCAGUGUGUAGGUGCGCACUGCGAUUACAAAUACCAGAUGAGCUUCCGGUUCAGCUGGGGCUCCCUGUCACGGUGCUCAGAGGACACACUCCAGAGAGGGUGUCAAUGAAACUGUAGUUCUGAUCAAACAGAAGCCCAAUUGAAGUCUGCUCGCUAAUAUAGAGCAUUCACAGCCACCCAGAGAGAACCCACUGUUCUGUGUGCAGUUUGAGUUCAUUACAAAAACACAGGACUCGAUUCCAGCAGCUGGAGUAAUUUUAGCUCUAUCUAAUGGUGGAUGUUUGAGGCACUAAACUCAUGGUUGGACCUCAGGGUUCUCAAAGGGAGAGGCCAUCUGCUCCUUACUUACUUCAUAGUCGGGAGCCUCCCCAUUGCAAUGACAAGAGCUUACUCUUCAACUCUGGUACCCCUAAAUGACUUGUUCUGAUACCCCCUAUACACAUACCUGUGUAUUGGCAUUGCUUAUGCAUGUGCAUGAACACAUGUGCAUACAGGGGGAGAGAGAGAGACAA